rnacentral:rRNA from 1 species
AAAACUUUACAAUGCUGGGAACAGCGAUAAGGGAACCUCGAGUGCCAGGUUACAAAUCUGGCUGUCGUGAUGCCUAAAAAGCAUUAUAUAGCAAGGGCCGGGCAAGACCGGUGCCAGCCGCCGCGGUAACACCGGCGGCUCGAGUGGUAACCGUUAUUAUUGGGUCUAAAGGGUCUGUAGCCGGCCGGAUAAGUCUCUUGGGAAAUCUGGCAGCUUAACUGUCAGGCUUUCAGGGGAUACUGUCUGGCUCGAGGCCGGGAGAGGUGAGAGGUACUUCAGGGGUAGGGGUGAAAUCUUGUAAUCCUUGAAGGACCACCAGUGGCGAAGGCGUCUCAC